ensembl:lincRNA Gm10655 predicted gene 10655
CUGGUGACUUUCGCUUGGGAGUGAAAAACAGCGCUCCUCACAUCAGGAAUUAACCGAAAGACAUAUAAUAAAUAGAUAUAUAUUAUAGUCCUGGGCUGCUAGGUUUUUUUUCUUCUUUUUUUCCCACGAUCUACUAGCAAAUAAUUAUUUGGCGGGAGGGGAGAAGGAGAAAACGAGUAACAACAAAAGGGGGGGAAAAAAGGACAAGCUGUACAAUCCUUAAAACCUGUGGCUGGUAGUAAUGGAUCAGUUGAUUCUGCAGAGGCGGCGAACGAUUGCCCCCCUCUAAUCUCAUUAGGGUUGCAAAGCAGCCCAAUUAGAUACUAUAAAACAAACAGAAUCACUUUGUCAGUUUAAUGUUUUCACUUCAAAAGAUUUAGGACCGAUAAAAUGCUGGCACCCAAAGUUACCUCCGACCUCUAAGACUGUUCUCCAAACUGAGUUUCUCUUUCUUUUAUCCGUUUCUGCCCCCUCUCCCACCCUUGGGCGCCCCGCUUUUCUCCUUUGUUCAUUCGCCCUUCUUUUCAGAAAGCCAAAUAAACAGCGCCUCUGAUGCAAGGCGGCUGCCGGCGAGGGGGAAGUCUGAGAACUCUGGCUUGGCGGGCCGCGCAGAUGGAAGGGCCUGGCAGUCUGCGGACAACAGGCUCAGUAGUGCGGCUAGCCCCAUUUGGGGCUCUUGCCCUUUGGGGACAGCUACGUCCUGGCCGCAGCCUUGCCAAGGCGGGUUCCUCAGCAGUGCUCCGGGCCCGAGAUGGUGAAGAAGGGAAAGCACGGAGUUGGGGCCCUCCUGGCUACGACCCAGAGUUCCGACCCCGUUUCUUGGCCUGAUGGCCUGCCUGGGCACAUGCAUCGGCAGCCACCCGUGGAAGAGCGACUGCGAGCCUGGAGCGUCCCUGGUCACCAGCAUAGACACCCAAGGAGGCGUAGAUAUUCGACUCUGGGGCCCAUCUGCUCGCAGACAAGGGUCACGUCAGGGCACACUGCCCACCCUAGGUCCGCGGGCCUCGGAGAACCAACGCCGAGUGGGCCGCCCAGGUGUCCUCGGGUCCCUCCCGGCUUUCCCACCAAGCUUGCACGCAAGCACACGCUCCUGGCCCGUUGCGGGCGCGCGCGAGCCGGCCGCGCGCCCCCGGAAUCUAUAUUUUCCCCUCAUUAGGAGCCUGAGUUUCGCGUUUGCAUCUUAAUGAGUAGCUGGGAGCGCGCGGGGACCUCCACGUGAGCGGCCGCCCCGAGAUGGAGCCUCUCAGCGCCCGCUCCGGCCUCGACCACGCUCCCCUCUUCAUUUAUUUAUUCUCCUAAAUAAAAACAUAAAUCGUGUACGAUGCGCACCGAAAAGGGGGAGGGGGCAGGGAGAAGCCUAGCUCGACAGAUGCGAGCAUCUGGCCAAAGCAUCCAUU